CUCAACAAACUUAUGAUGGGGUGCGCGCUUUUUUAUUGUACAAGAUAACGGAUUUGUAGACAUU
rnacentral:sRNA from 21 species